rnacentral:misc_RNA from 1 species
UUGUUCGGGGCCUUCGUGGCUCCUUGCAUGACCCCAACCCUUGCCUUUUCAGUCAUCUUACCGUUUCCUCGGCGGCCUCGGCCGCCAGAAGAGGACCCCAACCAAACCUUUUUGUAAUACAAGUACAAUCUUCAGAACAAAACAAACCUUUUA